UUUCUGCUCUAGGAUUAUAGGGAUGGCUGCACACAUGACACCCCACGCUGGGCAGAUGAUAUUGACAGCUCUUGGAGUUCAUGCUGUGUUAGGAGGGAGCCUGGAGCAGCCUCCAUGAAGAUGAAAGAACAGAGAGUGAAGUCCAGAUGAAAGCCAAUGCUAACUUUCAGAUAGCAAUGUCUUCAAGAACAGAGAAGAAGCAAUUUGACCUUUAUUUUGGAGAAGGACAGUGGUGGGGGUGGUAUCCUUCUAUAUGGUGAUGGAGCAGCCAGACUCUUUCCAUCUUGGGGUACUGCCGUCUUCAGCAUGUGGCUUCCGAGGAUGCCAUCUAAGAAACAGAGAGUGCACUAUGCCAUAGCAUAAAGAAAGUAAUUGCUUGAUUGAAAAAGUACCAAGUUGAGAGAUACUAUUCAAUAAUGUACAAUGUCAUUUUCAACAAU